AUUUAUGGGAUACACCAAGUUCAGUUUUGUGGAUUUCUAAAAUAAGAAAUAUUUAAGAGCUUCAAAUCAAAUGAUUGCAUCACUGGGCUUUGUUUAUCUCAUAAU
rnacentral:pre_miRNA from 1 species